rnacentral:rRNA from 1 species
AAGGCAGCUACACGGCGACGUGAGGCUAAUCCCUAAAUCCUCUCUCAGUUCGGAUUGGAGUCUGCAACCCGACUCCAUGAAGCUGGAUUCGCUAGUAAUCGCGCAUCAGCCACGGCGCGGUGAAUACGUUCCCGGGCCUUGUACACACCGCCCGUCAAGCCAUGAAAGCCGGGAGUGCCUGAAGUGCGUGACCGCAAGGAGCGUCCUAAGGCAAUACCGGUGACUGGGGCUAAGUCGUAACAAGGUACC